rnacentral:rRNA from 1 species
GACGAACGCUGGCGGCGUGCUUAACACAUGCAAGUCGAACGGAAAGGACCUGCUUUUGUGGGGUGCUCGAGUGGCGAACGGGUGAGUAACACGUGAGUAACCUGCCCCUGACUUUGGGAUAACUUCAGGAAACUGGGGCUAAUACCGGAUAGGAGCUCCUGCUGCAUGGUUGGGGUUGGAAAGUUACGGCGGUUGGGGAUGGACUCGCGGCUUAUCAGCUUGUUGGUGGGGUAGUGGCUUACCAAGGCUUGGACGGGUAGCCGGCCUGAGAGGGUGACCGGACACAUUGGGACUGAGAUACGGCCCAGACUACUACGGGAGGCAGCAGUGGGGAAUAUUGCACAAUGGGCGGAAGCCUGAUGCAGCAACGCCGCGUGCGGGAUGACGGCCUUCGGGUUGUAAACCGCUUUCGCCUGUGACGAAGCGUGAGUGACGGUAAUGGGUAAAGAAGCACCGGCUAACUACGUG